AUUGAACGCUGGCGGCAUGCUUUACACAUGCCAGUCGAACGGCAGCGCGGGCUUCGGCCUGGCGGCGAGUGGCGAACGGGUGAGUAAUACAUCGGAACGUGCCCAGUAGUGGGGGUUAGCUCGGCGAAAGCCGGAUUAAUACCGCAUACGACCUGAGGGUGAAAGCGGGGGAUCUUCGGACCUCGCGCUAUUGGAGCGGCCGAUGGCAGAUUAGCUAGUUGGUGGGGUAAAGGCCUACCAAGCCGACGAUCUGUAGCUGGUCUGAGAGGACGACCAGCCACACUGGGACUGAGACACGGCCCAGACUCCUACGGGAGGCAGCAGUGGGGAAUGUUGGACAAUGGGCGAAAGCCUGAUCCAGCAAUGCCGCGUGUGUGAUGAAGGCCUUCGGGUUGUAAAGCACUUUUGGCGGGAACGAAAAGGACUGUGCCAAUACCACGGUUCGAUGACGGUACCCGCAGAAUAAGCACCGGCUAACUACGUG
rnacentral:rRNA from 1 species